rfam:Bacillus endophyticus strain Hbe603, complete genome.
UAUUAGGAUUUUCUAAAAUCCAUUUCUCAAAUUCUGAAUAGGAUUUU